rnacentral:rRNA from 1 species
UACGAAGGGUGCAAGCGUUACUCGGAAUUACUGGGCGUAAAGGGCGCGUAGGUGGCGGGACAAGCGUGCGGUGAAAGCUCGGGGCUCAACCCCGCGUCGGCCGUGCGAACUGUUUUGCUUGAGCACUGUAGAGGCAGGCGGAAUUCCGGGUGUAGCGGUGGAAUGCGUAGAGAUCCGGAAGAACACCGGUGGCGAAGGCGGCCUGCUGGGCAGUAGCUGACACUGAGGCGCGACAGCGUGGGGAGCAAACAGG